GUGUCAGCAGCCGCGGUAAUACGAAGGGGGCUAGCGUUGUUCGGAAUUACUGGGCGUAAAGCGUACGUAGGCGGAUUGUUAAGUGAGGGGUGAAAUCCCGAGGCUCAACCUCGGAACUGCCUUUCAUACUGGCAAUCUUGAGUCCGGGAGAGGUGAGUGGAACUCCUAGUGUAGAGGUGAAAUUCGUAGAUAUUAGGAAGAACACCAGUGGCGAAGGCGGCUCACUGGCCCGGAACUGACGCUGAGGUACGAAAGCGUGGGGAGCAAACAGGAUUAGAUACCCUGGUAGUCC
rnacentral:rRNA from 1 species